GCCAUCAUGGUGUAGUGGUUUGAGUAUCAGACUAUGACUCUGGAGACAAGGGUUUGAUCCCCUGCUCAGCCA